CCCGCAUCGUCCCCCGGCCCCGCACUCCCCUUCUCCCCACACCCAGCGACCCUCCACCGCUCCUCCGCUGCCGGCCCCGCACGCCCCUCCUCCCACCGCACCGCUUCCCCGGCCCCGCAGCGCCCCCUCGCCCCUUCUCUCCGCUCCCCUGCGCCCACCCGACCCUGCAGCGCCCCUUCUGCCCCGGCGCCGCUCCCCACACCGCCCCUUCCCUGCCCGCACCGGCUGUGCUGCCCUCUGCCGUCGUCGCUGUCGCUGUCGUCUCUCUCGCUGCGCUCCCGCUUCCUCCCUCGCCUUGUGCCCCACAGCACACGGCUGAUCAGCCCCCCCAUCGCCCCGGAACGGGCCCGGGAACCGGGAGCUCCGGCCGGAACCGGCGGCUGUGCCUCGGCAGCGCCCGCUACUUGCACCGGCACCGGCAGCGUCUGCUUCGGAACGGCCGGGACAGGUAACUGCCGCCUCGGAAUGACGCGUGACGUGGCUGUGCCAUCACUAGAGGGCUCCUGGGCUCUUUGGUGGCUGUUGGAGUGGGGGGCGGACCCGGAGUAACGAUGGAGUCUCAAUAUGACUUCUCCGCCGUCAUGCACAAAACAGUGAAGCAGUUGUCUCCAAAGUGCGAGGUGACCUUCCUCCAGUCGGAAGAUGGCAGCGGCAAGGGCGCAGCGCUCAUCACGGCGGUGGCCUGCCGGAUCCGGGAGGCUGGCCAGCGAUAGGAGGAAGGAGGUUUGCCGAAGAGCUUGGUUUCAGCAGAACAGGACGUUUCCCCCCCACCCCCGGUCCCUCCCUCCGCACACACACACAUACGAGGCCUCCCCUUGCAAGCAGACUCUCGGCUUUACUUGUUCCCGUGAGAUACCACCAGUGGGACUGGAGAUGCUGUGUACUUUAUAGAAAGAGCUGUCGUAGGAGUUUCAUUGCAUGCCAUAAAACCGCGUGUCGAGUAAAGCUCAAAGCGUCUUUUGGCUGUCUGCCUACAUUCCCAGUUAGAGCUGGACCUGUUCCACUUGCAGCCUCCAUCAAACACCAGCUCUCCUCCCCACAUCUCCUAACCACUCUCCCACCUUCCCAAACAGCAGAAAGGGUAAUGCUGGAAUAAUUAAGACACUGCAUUGUCACUUUACAGUAACCGGUACCUAUUUAUGUCUGUCGUAGCGUGUCCAUGCUGUAGAAAGCAAACCUCUCCAAGAUUGGGCUAAAGACCUCCGUUAGUCUUUUACCCUGAUCAAGGCUGUAUUAUUUCCAUGAAAGUCAUGGUAACUUUUCAAGCACAGGGUGCAGAAUUCCAACCGGCGUGUUCCGGGUCUGCACUGGGAGAUACCAGGUAUCUCUGUUGGUGAGCAAUAUUAAAGAACCUGCUGGCUCCGAGUUAGAGGCGCCCCUUUAACGGCGCCAGCAGAGCACGUGCCUGGAAAUAAUUGGGGACUCGGGGUCUAAUCCCAUUUCCCGACCUCUCACCUCACCUGCACCCUAGAGUGUAGUCACGUGGCAUGUCCGUAUGGUUGUGUUGCACCUCUGAAAACCACUGGCACCCUUCCCUGGUGCAUGUGCGGAUACAGGAACCACCACCCGGCCGGGUCGCUCUCUUCCCUGCAGAUCCGCACAUCGUGGCCGUGUGUCUGUGCUUGGCGCGGUGAAUUUGGUUUGCUUUUUGUCUGUGAAAUAGUUCUGCGUCUUCAACCUUUUAGGUGACACCUGGAUUUACACACUGUAUAUUUAUGUUUCAAGAGAUCUGAUGUCUUUGUAUGUACAUAGUCUGGGGGUUAUAUUGCUUAGUUUUGGCUUCACCUUUCGAUGUCCCUGAAGAAUGGUAUAGAGAACUUAUUUUCUUUUUCUCUAGUGGUGUUUUUUUAAUUUAAAUUCUUUUUAGGGUAGAUUGGAGAGAGAGACACCCAUAUUCCUGAGGAUGGGCAUUCUGAAUUCAUCACCAGGACAAAAGGGAAACUAAGAAGGCAGGGAUGCGCAGCGCGGGGAGCAGUCGGGCCCUGCAGCAGCGAAGCUUUCAGGAUUAGGCUGGGAGGACCUGAGGAGAGGUUUUUCUUUUGUCCCGCUGCCCUCAUCGCUCUGGAAGGCGCCGCUGUUCCCUGUGGCAGCACGGGGUAAAAUAACGUCGGGCCCCCUCGCAUUGUCCCGGGACAGCAAACCGCGGCUCGAGCACCACUGGGGUGCGUGAUUCGCAGCGAGACGCUGGCAAAACCAAUCCCAACUCCUUCCAUCAAGUAAGCAGCAAUAGCUGAUGUCACUCCAUGGCCCUUUGGCAUCCUCAGGGAUGUCGGCAAGCGCUCCUGGGGCCGUGGGUGCCCAUAGCAUCAUUUUGUGUGUCCCAGGGAAAAGCAGUGAUUAAUUCUUGCCUUAGAAUUAAGACGCCUUAGGACAAAGCUGCAGCAAUGCUGGAGCGGGCGGAGGCACAUGGGAGGGGCUGUAAAUAUUUAGCAGAGGAGAAUGAAGUUCCGAUUCUGUACAACUAUAAUAAUUAAUAAUUCCCAGGAGCAGACCUUCACUUUGGAGGACAGAGUUUUUGUUUAUUUUGAUGAAUAUUUUUACACUGCUUGGGGUACCCUCAUUCCCAGGAGUCUCUCUGCUGUCUUGGGGGUCACGUGCAGUAGCACAAUUUUAAAGCAAAAAUCACUCUUCGGGCAUUUUAAAUGCUUAUUUUUAUAUAAGCCUCAAGACAAUUAUAACAAAGCAAAUCUGACUGUGUAUAGAAACAAUGUAAGAAACCAAGUUCAGUGAAAAGUUUUAGAAGAUGUUAAAUAAAUUUUGGAAGGAUGAUCCCCCCCCCCCCUUCUCCCCACACCCAGCGCCCCUCCACCGCUUCUCCGCUGCCGGCCCCGCACGCCCCUCCUCCCACCGCACCGCUUCCCCGGCCCCGCAGCGCCCCCUCGCCCCUUCUCUCCGCUCCCCUGCGCCCACCCGACCCUGCAGCGCCCCUUCUGCCCCGGCGCCGCUCCCCACACCGCCCCUUCCCUGCCCGCACCGGCUGUGCUGCCCUCUGCCGUCGUCGCUGUCACUGUCGUCUCUCUCGCUGCGCUCCCGCUUCCUCCCUCGCCUUGUGCCCCACAGCACACGGCUGAUCAGCCCCCCCAUCGCCCCGGAACGGGCCCGGGGACCGGGAGCUCCGGCCGGAACCGGCGGCUGUGCCUCGGCAGCGCCCGCUACUUGCACCGGCACCGGCAGCGUCUGCUUCGGAACGGCCGGGACAGGUAACUGCCGCCUCGGAAUGACGCGUGACGGUAACCGCCGCCUCGACGGGCAACUCUGCCUUGGAAUGGGCAGUACUGAUAGCUGCUUUCCAGGUCAUCCCCAACCUGUCCUGGUGCAGGGGCUGUUCCUCCCCAGGUGCUGGACUCUACGUGCCCACCUCUUGUCCUUGGUAGCUGGCAGCCCAAACAUCUGUGUCUGCAGGGCCUCCUUCUCCCCGGGGCAGCUGCAAGACCAGAAAGAGGGGAAAUACAAUAAAGAAAUCCAGAGUGCUCUUCCAGCCAGUGUCACUACACCUGCAUAAAUCACCCACCUUCUUCCUGUCCAGUUGCAUAUGGAAUUACAGAGGCAUGGACUAGUUGAGGUUGGAAUGGACCUCUGGAGUUCAUUGGGUCCGAUACCCCUGCUCAAGCAGGGCCACCUAGAGCCAGUUGCCCAAUAAUUUUGAAGACCUCCAAGGAUAGAGACUCCACAAUCUCUCCAGGCAACCUGUUCCAGCAAGACCACUGGAAAUGCACGUUGGUGCAUUUCUGGUUGGCCAGAGAAGUCGUGGCUGCCCUGUCCCUGGAGGUGUUCAAGGCCAGGUUGGAUGGGCCUUGGAGCCCCUGAUCCAGUGUCUGCAUCAUCCAGUGGCUGGAACUGGAUGGGCUUUGAGGUCCCUUCAAACUGAAACCGUUCUAUAAUUCUCUUGACUGCUGUGACAGUGGCUGUGCCAUCACUAGAGGGCUCCUGGGCUCUUUGGUGGCUGUUGGAGUGGGAGGCAGACCCGGAGUAACAAAUCCUAAUUGGUUAUGUCCCGCUGUUCACGCACCUUAUGCUGUCACGCAACUGGCCAGACGCUCUUGAGCACGCAAAAGGGGCAGAUACAAAGUUCUCAUCACAACUCUUCGGGACUUUCCCACGCUGGAUUCCACAUUCUUGUAUUCUACUCCCUUUUAUCUUAUCUCAAGGUCAGGCCUAGCUACAGACAGCAAACCCUGGAUUGUUCACUGCUAUUAAAUCAUGAGCCAUUCUUCCACAAUUCCCCCUUUUUGUUUUGAACAAGCCAGGGUUCAUUUGUUAUUCGUGAUAGCAUUUGUCUUAGACAUAACCUUACACAACUGAAAAGAGCUAUUUCUACAAGUAUAACUAUCAACAACAUUAAUACGCUCCUAAGCCAACCAGUCAAUCCUAACCAGUUGGAUAAUCCAUUCAAAUCAAAGAAAAGAAAAAAAGGAGAGACCUAGGUCAAAAUCAUCACAGCCAUGACCAUGCGCCAAUAACAAAAAAAAAGAAGAAAACUUUAUUGCUGCAGCCAGUUCAGACAAAAUUCGACUUGUCAUGUUGGCUUGCUUCACUACCCAACAAAAUAAUUCUUCUAAGUUUUUAUGCGCUUUUAUGGCUGCGACUCUUGAUAGCAAAAGAAAUGCAAAAAUCUUUCCUAAGAAUUCAGGUCUCUUUUCCACCUAGUGGGAUGAGUUUGAUUUGGAUGAUGAUAUGGAACGCCCAAACUGGGCUGACCAAGGGUACAUGGUCCACCCUUCGGGUUAGAGGGCAUGCCUGCCCACGCUCGAUUACCACAGAUCGAAAGGUAUCCUGGUGGUAAUCGUCUUGGUAAUGCAGUGCCAGGAGCGGAGUGAGUUUUAUUUCGUAUUGUAAUGUUGCACCAUUUCCGCUCCCAAUCACUGCUGUUCCCCAUGGGAUUAAUUAUUGUUGGUGCUGCUUGGUCCGCUAGUCUUGUUUCCUUCUAUACCUCAGACCACGAUGCUAAACCUAUAAAAACAAAAAAAAAAACCCAAAAAACAAUACGUAGCAUUCAAUGAAUCCACAAGUUGAAGUUCUUGUGGUUCGGAUCCAAUUGGAAGUUUGUUAUCCCAAUUAUCAUAUUUAUCGAAUGCUUCGCUCUUGCCCAUAGGGGGCAUAUGCUGAGCUGGACUAACGAAGCUAUCUGCUACCUGAUUACCCCUUCCUAGUCCUACGUCAAGUUGAUGACUUCACACAUGAAUAACACAACAAGGCUCUGUGCGUGGUUGAAGCGUGGAGCGUAAUUGCACAAACAAUGCUCCUAAUCUUGGGUUAGUUGUCUUAGAAGAGCAUCCUCUAAUCUUGGGACUACUCCUGCUACAUACGAGUGCGUUACAACAUUAAGAGGGGUGGUUAGCCAAUUCAACAGGGCCCAACCAACAGCAGUUAAUUCUAAGGUCUGUAAAGAAUCUUGGGGCUGUCCCUCCAAAAUAUGCUUGUGCCAUUCAGCACGUUCGUGCCAUACACAAACAGCACAAUGCAGUCGUUUUCCGGCCUCAGUAUAUACAGUAAGGCCAUCCACCAGUGGUUGCAUACUGACUUUCGUUCUCUCCAGCCACUGAUUUCGUGACAAUAUCUGCCACUUUUUUCCCUUGCGGCUGCUGCAAAUGUAUUUGUCCUUCAAAUCCUAAUAGGGCUUCCUGAAUAGUGGUAUUACAUUUCGUAACCACCACUCUAGGUCUACAGCAUUAACUGGAAUGCUAGUGUCUGCAGGUUCUUGACCAUUGAUCUCAAUAAUUCGAGAUCUGCCUUUUCGUACUAACUCUGCCACAGCUUCGGGUCUGGUUUGAAUGCUCGUUUUUGGCUGCUCACCCAGAAACACCCAUUCCAAUACCCAGAAUGAUUCAGCUUUAUCAGUUCUCUUACUACUGGCAAUGGCAGGGUCAUUCAGGUCUCUUGUCCUUCCCAGAUUCCCCUCUUUUGUUUUGCCAUUGACAGAUGACUGCAUACGGGGAUUCACUAUUGCUACAAACCAAAAGCGAUAUCGGUAAAUUCAGGAUCUUCCAAGAUGACCAAGAUAUUUUGUAAGCGACAACUGAUUUUUUGUAAAAGAGUCCUUUGAUCUGCGGUAAGCUCAGUUUUGGAGGCUGUGUCAGCAUUGUGCAACAACACAGUCAAGGGAGCAAUAUCAGAGUUGGAAAUGUCCACACAACGGUGGACCCAUUGAAUAUUCCCUAACAACGUUUGAACAUCUUUAACAGCACGUAAACUGGUCGUCAGUUCAAUUUUCUGUGGUGGGAUUUGGGCAUCAGAAAUGCGCCAGCCCAAAUACUUCCACAGAGCCGACCUUUGUACUUUUUCAGGUGCAACAACAAGUCCUUUAUCUCUCAGCAUAUCCCUCAGUGUCUGCAGUGCCAGUUCAUCAAACGGUUCUUAUAACGGACACUGGAAUGCAGAGUGUUCUUCAUAAAUUGUUACUCCCCUAGAGAAAGAUAAGGACUGCCAAGCUGAAACAAAACAAAAAACCUUCACAUAUCAGGAAUAAGGGCGGGGAGGAAUGGGGGGGGGGAACCUCACACACAGCCACAGGGCUGUGAGGGGAAUAGGGUGGGGGGGAAACUCACACACAGCUAUAGGGCUGGGUUUUUUUUCCAUUUUCUUUUUCUAUUGUCUACGUGCUUUUUGUAUUUUUUUUUUUUUCAAUUUGAAAUUGUGUUCUCUGCAGCCUUUCACUUCAAAGGUCCCAGGUAAAUCUACCUGUUUGCUGGCUUAGUGGACGUUUGAGACUGAAAGGUCUCAGAGUUGCAUUUUUAAGAUUAAUCGAAACAAACAGAGGCUCAAGCUCCUAUAACCAAAACCCAACUUGCAAAUCUUACAAACGUUUAAAGCGCUUUAAACACACACACGCAUACACACACAGAACCACUCUUUUGAGAGCUGGCUUAAUAUAUCCAUACAAUAUUGUUUACGACCAGUCAAUAAGAAUAGCACGAUGGUAUGAAUAUUUAAACUAUACACGGUACCGAACACAUACAACACUUACAAUAUGCACAUAUAUUAUAAGAUAAUGUUUGUAUCAAUUCACAGAAUCACCAGGUUGGAAAGGACCCACUGGAUCAUCGAGUCCAACCAUUCCUAACACUCCCUAAACCAUGUCCCUCAGCACUUCAUCCACCCGUUCCUUAAACACCUCUCUGUCGGAGGAGAGAGGGUGAAAAUUCCUGGUCACAACGCGAUGUGGAGUAUGAGAGUCCAGUUAUGGAUCUUGUUGACAUCUCUAACCAGUCUGACGUCUUUCUGACUCGAAGCAAAGAAAUGGCAUCUCAGUGCAGGUGAUGGCUCUGUGUGGGACAGGGGGACAUCAAUAAAGCCAAAGACUGUGGGGCUGCUAACAGGAACAAGAGACUGUAGAUUCACCUGAUGUUGUUAUUUCGUGUUUACAAUAUUUAUUUUUAGUAACUGACUGCUAUUAUAUUAUAGAGAGGCUUCCUUAUUUUUGUA